AUUGAACGCUGGCGGCAGGCCUAACACAUGCAAGUCGAGCGGAGCUUCGGACGGGUGGGUGAUGACUAGGAAUCUGCCUGGUAGUGGGGGAUACCGUCCGGAAACGGGCGCUAAUACCGCAUACUAUCAGAUGGCCCUCGGUCGUAGUAGCUAGUUGGUGUGGUAAAGGCCUACCAAGGCGACGAUCCGUAACUGGCCUGAGAGGAUGAUCAGUCACACUGGAACUGAGACACGGGCCAGACUCCUACGGGAGGCAGCAGUGGGGAAUAUUGGACAAUGGGCGAAAGCCUGACCCAGCCACGCCGCGUGGGUGAAGAAGGUCUUCGGAUUGUAAAGCACUGUUAGUUGGGAGGCGGUACCAAAAGAAUAAGCACCGGCUAACUUCGUGCCAGCAGCCGCGGUAAUAC
rnacentral:rRNA from 1 species